CGGCCUGAGGUCGGACGAGGCUACCCGCUGAAUUUAAGCAUAUUACUAAGCGGAGGAAAAGAAACUAACGAGGAUUCCCUCAGUAACGGCGAGUGAAGCGGGACGAGCCCAGCGCCGAAUCCGGCCGCUUAUGGAGCGGACGGAAUUGUGGCGUAUGGAAUUCGCUUCGAGCGCGGACCGGCUGCCCACGUCCUUCUGAUCGAGGCUUCAUCCCAUAGCGGGUGUCAGGCCCUUGGCGGCGGCUGGCCCGGGCUCUCGGUGUCUUCCCGGAAUCGGGUUGUUUGGAAUGCAGCCCA
rnacentral:ncRNA from 1 species